rnacentral:rRNA from 1 species
CCUACGGGAGGCAGCAGUGGGGAAUUUUGCGCAAUGGGGGCAACCCUGACGCAGCAACGCCGCGUGAGUGAUGAAGGCCUUCGGGUCGUAAAGCUCUGUCAGAGGGGAAGAAAUGCAGGUGGUGAACAACCAUUCUGUUUGACGGUACCCUCAAAGGAAGCACCGGCUAACUCCGUGCCAGCAGCCGCGGUAAUACGGAGGGUGCGAGCGUUGUUCGGAAUUAUUGGGCGUAAAGCGCGUGUAGGCGGUUUGUUAAGUCGGAUGUGAAAGCCCCGGGCUCAACCUGGGAAGUGCAUUGGAUACUGGCAGACUUGAGUACGGGAGGGGAGAGUGGAAUUCCCAGUGUAGGGGUGAAAUCCGUAGAUAUUGGGAGGAACACCGGUGGCGAGGGCGGCUCUCUGGAUAGAUACUGACGCUGAGGCGCGAAAGCGUGGGGAGCAAACAGGAUUAGAUCCCUUGGUAGU